AGGAAAUAGAUACCCAGGUAGUCCACGCCCUAAACGUUCUCAACUAGCUUUAGGGGGAAUCGAACCCUUCUGAGGCGAAAGCUAAAACACGUUAAAGUUGAGCGCCUGGGUAGUACGGCCGCAAGGCUAAAACUCAAAGGAAUAGACGGGGACUUGCACAAGCAGUGGAUUAUGCGGUUUAAUUCGAUGACAAACGAAAAACCUUACCAAGGUUAGAAUCUAUGUGAAGACAUGCAGAAACGUAUGUCGUCCGCAAGGACUCAUAGACAGGUGUUGCAUGGCCGUCGUCAGUUCGUGAUUUGAAUUGUUCCCUUAAGUGGGGUAACGAACGCAACCCUCGUUGCCAGUUAUAUAUGUCUGGCGAGACUGCCCCCGUUUUUGUUUCUGAUUUUUCGGAAAUAAAAACGGGGGAGGAAGGCGAGGAUGACGCCAGGUCAGCAUGACCCCUCUGAUACCUUGGGCCGACACGCAUAAUACAAUCGCCGCUACAACGGGCAGCGACGGGGCAACCCUGAGCAAAUCCUAAGAAAAGCGGCGUCAGUUCGGAUUGGGGGCUGAAACUCGACCCC
rnacentral:rRNA from 1 species